GUACACUCCUACGGGAGGCAGCAGUGGGGAAUAUUGGACAAUGGGCGCAAGCCUGAUCCAGCCAUGCCGCGUGAGUGAUGAAGGCCCUAGGGUUGUAAAGCUCUUUCACCGGUGAAGAUAAUGACGGUAACUGGAGAAGAAGCCCCGGCUAACUUCGUGCCAGCAGCCGCGGUAAUACGAAGGGGGCUAGCGUUGUUCGGAUUUACUGGGCGUAAAGCGCACGUAGGCGGACUAUUAAGUCAGGGGUGAAAUCCCGGGGCUCAACCCCGGAACUGCCUUUGAUACUGGUAGUCUUGAGUUCGAGAGAGGUGAGUGGAAUUCCGAGUGUAGAGGUGAAAUUCGUAGAUAUUCGGAGGAACACCAGUGGCGAAGGCGGCUCACUGGCUCGAUACUGACGCUGAGGUGCGAAAGCGUGGGGAGCAAACAGGAUUAGAAACCCGUGUAGUCCC
rnacentral:rRNA from 1 species